rnacentral:lncRNA from 1 species
UUCUCAUCUUCUUCAUAUCACCUUAGCACCAGACAUCCCUCAGAAAAGCUUCUUCCUUUCCUUGUUCUUCCAAUUGAACCCAGUUCUUCCCUACCCUACCGUACCCAUCGAUCGUUAACGCCAUCGAUCGAGUGUUUUCCUUAGCGCCCAGCCAUCUAUCGUGAGCAGACCCUUCCGUUCCCUUCCCGUGUGUUCAGCCCAUCGAUCACGUUCUGUCCUUCAGUCGGGAUUCACAAUGUUUAGUCGCCAAGGUUAGUUUUUCAAUUCUUUAAACUCUUUGCUCCAUGUUCUGUAUAUCAUCCCGUAUCUGGUCGAUUGUGUAACAGUUGGUUGUUUUACCUUUAUAAUAUCUUGUAACUCAUACUUAGUCUUUGUUAACAGUUGGGAGUUUGACCUUAAUGGAUUUUAUAAAAACAAUAAUAAUAUCUAUUUCCAUGCCAGAAGUUGAGACCAUAAUGUCGAAAUUGAAGCGUUCUUCCAAAUCAGUUGAUGAGUAGUUCUACUUUGAGGUUGUGCUAUGGUGUUGUGUAACUGUGGGAUUCGAGAUUCUCGUUGCAUCUCACACACUCCGCAAAAUCCAAAUCGUAAAUUGUUUGGGUACUCCAACUACAAAUCGAAGGUUGAUAUAUUUGUUGAUCUUUGAUCAUAGUGGCUACAUAUAUAUUACUAGAUUAGUAAAUUAUUUCCCAUUUGCUGAUGUACGUAGGAGGACAAUGGUUGCGGCUACUUCGAGUGGUUUGAUGUCAAAAUUGAUGUUGUUAUCGAGAAGUUGAAACUCGCAACUCUUGUCGAGAGCUUGAAAAACCAAAUCAAUGACCUACGUGUGGAGAAUAUGAAGCUCCAAGCGUCGGUGUCACGUAGGAAGCAAAAAUCAAUACGUAAUGUUGGUAAAUCGAGCAGUUGUAACAACCACCCUAACGUGGAGUACGACAUGCAGAACAAGCUGGAGGCACUUAAGAGAAGGGUCGAACUCAUUGAACGUAGGCUAUAGUUUGCUAUGUAGUUGAGAACAAAUUCAUGACGUAUGUUCCACUUUCGUUAGUGUUCAAUGUUAGCAGUACUCUUUUCCAACAUAUGAGUAUGCACUAGUUCUGUGAUUGGAUUUUAAUGGAUUUUAUAGUCCCCUUGGUUGUUAUGGUAUAAAAGUAUCAGUAAUGCACUUCCAUCAUAUUUGAUUCCUUUGUAUUAGAGUUCUGCAGAAGUAUAACUGAUAACAAAGUAGACUAGCUUCAGAAUUGCAUUUGACUUAAUUUUCUCAUAAUGAUUCAGAACUAAAACCUAGAAAAACCAACAAGUCCGUUCAUUCAUAACAAAGGAGUCAAUAACAACGAUUUAUUCACAACAAUCCAAAACUCAGUAACAUGAAUACAUAACUAGUAGGGUUCUGAAUCAGAAACAAAUUCAUAACAACCAAAAUACCAGAGAACAAAGUGGCUCAAGAUUGAAGAACAGUCGACCGUCUUAUCAAGGUACAAGAAGAAUAUUUAGGAUCAUACGCUUCCGUGCUUCCUUUGUACCAACAUUGAAGAACAGUCACAGCAAAUCGGUGUCUUUGACAAUAAUAAUUGCUGCCUUCAUUACCUGAUCCUCUGUUAGUCCUUCAAUUUUCUCAAUUUCAUCAUACACCAUGUCCUUCUUCUUGUUCAUAAUGUCUGAUUCCCCAUGAACGAUUGCAGCAAAUCAACAACAUUCUUAAUGAUUAGCUUCAACUCUUUGACAAUUUCGCUUCCAGGUCCAGUUCGAGUAGAAUGUGGAGGCUUUUCGGGACGACUAGUUGCAUCAGACACACCAGCUUUCCUCUUAUUAGUCGGUGUAGUAGGGUUGACAUCAUCAUCCACGAGUACAAACUCCUCGAACUCAUUUUCGUUACCAGCUGUAUAGUUUUCACCCGGCUCAGUCCAUUUCUCUUAUCCUAAUAUCAAGCUACUUUGGACCCCUAUUUUAGGACAUGGAAGUGCCCUUUUCAGCUCCUCCAACCAAAAAACACAUGAGCCUGUAGCACGAACCUUCUCAAAGACAAAUUCGGGACCAUAAUAACAAGGAAACAUGACUCGGUUCAGGUUAGCAUAAUGCUUGUGUUGCUGAAAAUAAAAAGGAACAACAAAAUCAAUGAAUAACACACAUGUGCAGCAGUCCAGCAAGCAACAAAGAGCCAUAAAACACAAAUCAAG